ensembl:lncRNA
ACUGCACCCCACACAACCAACUAUUCUUCCCCUUACACACCUAAGGGCAGUCAUUCUGGGGAGCCAAACUGGGCACACACCCUUCACCCCAAGGAGCCCCUUCAGCCACUUGGCCCUCUCUAGUGUUUGCCAAUGAAUCCUCUCCUUUCACGACCUUUCUUGUUUCCUCAAAAGCACUCCGUUCCACAGGAGCCAGUGGGCUCAACUCAGCUCAAACCACCACCCAGGGAAGAUCCACAGCCAUUGGUGCCAGCUCCAGGGGAGCCACUCAAGGAGACACCCAACAAGGAGCAGAGACCACAGUCACCAGGAGCAGAGAAGGUGAGGACGACCUUUCCCUUUUCUUGGCCAUGCCACCCCAUUCUCAGCCCCAAGGACACACACCUUUGCCCUGACCUGGACACUCAAUGCACACCAUUUUGGCCUCUUCUUUCAUGAGCUUCCCAGGGCACGUCACCCUACAUUAUGGCCUUCUUCUCCUACCCUUGGCUUCCUGGGAUUUCUCACCCUUUCUCUGGACCUGAUCCGCUUCCUGUGAGCACACAGUGAGCCUGACUCGCUCUCCACACUGCUGCCUGGCACUCUUUGGCCUGCCUCUCUCUUCUGCUUCCUCCCUCUGCCGUUCUGGGAGGGAUGAAGUUCAUGGCCCUCUCUCUCUCACAAGCCCUCCUAGCUAUGCCCCAAAUCAUAGUCUCUACCGUGAUAUACCUCUCCUUUCUCAUGAGCAACACCAUGGAAAAAUCACAUACACACUUCACAUAGCCACAGGCACAGGUGUACACGCACCCACCCACACACACACACACACACACACACACACACACACACACUCACGUGCAAGGUGGGCUCUGAAUGCCAUGACGGCAAGCCAGACAUCCAUUGUUCUUGGCAUUGACCUUGAUGGAGAUUCCCAGAAUAGCGUUCCCCUGUGACCCCACUCCCCAAUUUUGCAGACUCUUCUGGAAGGUCCUCGGCUACAAAUGGCAUUUCUACAUUGGCAAGCCAAGGUCACUCUGGGAGCAUUGGGCCAGAAGCCUGGCUCUGGGGGUCCCCUCUCAGCAGGUCCACCUUUCUUGCCCUUGGUCCCACCCUAUCGCCUGCACGGCUUCCUGCUUAGACACCAGGGCCAAUGCAGGCACAGGACUUGGCAGAUGCACAUGUUUCCCUUAGUCGGACACCUCCCGCCCAAUUGGCCAAUCCAUCCCCUUUGCCUCCACAUCUCAUUUCGGGCUCCUGCUUUCUCAGAAACCAUCAGCACCACAGGAGCCAGCGGCACAAAGGGCGCUGAAAUCACCCCCAAGGGAAGACCCACCACAGCACAAGGCACCAACUCCAAUGGGGCCAGUCAAGGUGAGUGGAGGAACAAAGACCUGCUGGCUCCUGCACUUCUUCCAGGGGAUGCUCCAAUCCUUGACAGAGUCCAGUGGCCUAGCAGAGCUGCUGGCUGCCCACUUUCUACAAUUCUCACCAAACUUUCUUCCUCAUCGCAAUUCCUUGCUGCCCACAGGUGCGACCACCCGCCAAGGAGCAGACAGCCUCCUCAAUGGGAGCACUCAAGGGCCCAGUGGAACCUCCUCGGCUGCCAAUGGCAUUUCCGGAAAUCCCAACCAAGGACCAGUCACAUCCACAGGAGCCAGUGGGACAGGCAGAGCUGA